rnacentral:rRNA from 1 species
GACGAACGCUGGCGGCGUGCCUAAUACAUGCAAGUGGGACGCAAGGGAACACACUGUGCUUGCACACCGUGUUUUCUUGAGUCGCGAACGGGUGAGUAACGCGUAGGUAACCUGCCUAUUAGCGGGGGAUAACUAUUGGAAACGAUAGCUAAUACCGCAUAAUAUUAAUUAUUGCAUGAUAAUUGAUUGAAAGAUGCAAGCGCAUCACUAGUAGAUGGACCUGCGUUGUAUUAGCUAGUUGGUAAGGUAAGAGCUUACCAAGGCGACGAUACAUAGCCGACCUGAGAGGGUGAUCGGCCACACUGGGACUGAGACACGGCCCAGACUCCUACGGGAGGCAGCAGUAGGGAAUCUUCGGCAAUGGACGAAAGUCUGACCGAGCAACGCCGCGUGAGUGAAGAAGGUUUUCGGAUCGUAAAGCUCUGUUGUAAGUCAAGAACGUGUG